rnacentral:tRNA from 1 species
AGAGAAUGAAGAAUCUAAAAGAAGCUGCUAACUAUCUUUUAUAAGCGGUUAAACUCCGUUUUUCUCUU